rnacentral:rRNA from 2 species
GCACAUCCUGCUCAGUGAAACUAAACAGCCGCAGAACUUUAUACUGUGCUAAGGUAGCAUAAUCACUUGUCUUUUAAUUGAAGAAUAGAAUGAACGGAAAAACGAAUAUUUAACUGCCUCAUUUUUUUCCAAUAAAAUUUCACAUAAAGUAAAAAUGCUUUUUAUUUCAAAAAGACGACAAGACCCUAAAGAACUAAAACUAAAGUUUAGCUGGGGCGGCACUAUAAAAAAAUCUUAUAACAAUUUUAAUUAAACCCAAUUAUGUUUCAGUUACCUUAGGGAUAACAGCAUAAUUUAAUUCUAAAGCUCUUAUAAAAAAUUAAGAUUAUGACCUCGAUGUUGAAUUAAGCCUCUUUCUGAAGAAAAGUCCAAACUAAGAAAGUCUGUUCGACUUUUAAACACUUACA